CCUACGGGAUGCAGCAGUGAGGAAUAUUGGUCAAUGGGGGGAACCCUGAUGCAGCGACGCCGCGUGUGGGAAGACGGUCCUCUGGAUUGUAAACCACUGUCCCCAGGGACGAAAAUGACGGUACCUGGGGAGGAAGCUCCGGCUAACUACGUGCCAGCAGCCGCGGUAAUACGUAGGGAGCGAGCGUUGUCCGGAAUUACUGGGUGUAAAGGGAGCGUAGGCGGGGAUGCAAGUUGGGUGUCAAAACUACCGGCUCAACUGGUAGUCGCACUCAAAACUGCAGCUCUUGAGUGAAGUAGAGGCAGGCGGAAUUCCUAGUGUAGCGGUGAAAUGCGUAGAUAUUAGGAGGAACACCAGUGGCGAAGGCGGCCUGCUGGGCUUUUACUGACGCUGAGGCUCGAAAGUGUGGGGAGCAAACAGGAUUAGAUACCCCGGUAGUC
rnacentral:rRNA from 1 species